rnacentral:rRNA from 1 species
CCCAGCUUGCUGGGUGGAUUAGUGGCGAACGGGUGAGUAACACGUGAGUAACCUGCCCUUGACUCUGGGAUAAGCGCUGGAAACGGCGUCUAAUACCGGAUACGAGCUUCCACCGCAUGGUGAGUUGCUGGAAAGAAUUUCGGUCAAGGAUGGACUCGCGGCCUAUCAGGUAGUUGGUGAGGUAACGGCUCACCAAGCCGACGACGGGUAGCCGGCCUGAGAGGGUGACCGGCCACACUGGGACUGAGACACGGCCCAGACUCCUACGGGAGGCAGCAGUGGGGAAUAUUGCACAAUGGGCGCAAGCCUGAUGCAGCAACGCCGCGUGAGGGACGAAGGCCUUCGGGUUGUAAACCUCUUUUAGCAGGGAAGAAGCGAAAGUGACGGUACCUGCAGAAAAAGCACCGGCUAACUACGUGCCAGCAGCCGCGGUAAUACGUAGGGCGCAAGCGUUAUCCGGAAUUAUUGGGCGUAAAGAGCUCGUAGGCGGUUUGUCACGUCUGCUGUGAAAUCUGGAGGCUCAACCUCCAGCCUGCAGUGGGUACGGGCAGACUAGAGUGCGGUAGGGGAGAUUGGAAUUCCUGGUGUAGCGGUGGAAUGCGCAGAUAUCAGGAGGAACACCGAUGGCGAAGGCAGAUCUCUGGGCCGUAACUGACGCUGAGGAGCGAAAGGGUGGGGAGCAAACAGGAUUAGAUACCCUGGUAGUCCACCCCGUAAACGUUGGGACUAGAUGUGGGGACCAUUCCACGGUUUCCGUGUCGCAGCUAACGCAUUAAGCGCCCCGCCUGGGGAGUACGGCCGCAAGGCUAAAACUCAAAGGAAUUGACGGGGGCCCGCCAAGCGGCGAAGCAUGCGGAUUAAUUCGAUGCAACG